UCAGAACCACAGCAGGGAUGCCGUCCGG
rnacentral:sRNA from 1 species